AAAUAGAUACCCUGGUAGUCCACGCCGUAAACGAUGAGUGCUAAGUGUUAGAGGGUUUCCGCCCUUUAGUGCUGCAGCUAACGCAUUAAGCACUCCGCCUGGGGAGUACGGCCGCAAGGCUGAAACUCGGAAAGGAAGUUGACGGGGGCCCGCACAAGCGGUGGAGCAUGUGGUUUAAUUCGAAGCAACGCGAAGAACCUUACCAGGUCUUGACAUCCUCUGCCAACCCUAGAGAUAGGGCGUUCCCCUUCGGGGGACAGAGUGACAGGUGGUGCAUGGUUGUCGUCAGCUCGUGUCGUGAGAUGUUGGGUUAAGUCCCGCAACGAGCGCAACCCUUGAUCUUAGUUGCCAGCAUUCAGUUGGGCACUCUAAGGUGACUGCCGGUGACAAACCGGAGGAAGGUGGGGAUGGACGUCAAAUCAUCAUGCCCCUUAUGACCUGGGCUACACACGUGCUACAAUGGAUGGUACAAAGAGUUGCGAACCCGCGAGGGUAAGCCAAUCUCAAUAAAGCCAUUCUCAGUUCGGAUUGUAGG
rnacentral:rRNA from 1 species